rnacentral:rRNA from 1 species
GAUGAACGCUGGCGGCGUGCCUAAUACAUGCAAGUCGAGCGAACAGACGAGGAGCUUGCUCCUCUGACGUUAGCGGCGGACGGGUGAGUAACACGUGGAUAACCUACCUAUAAGACUGGGAUAACUUCGGGAAACCGGAGCUAAUACCGGAUAAUAUAUUGAACCGCAUGGUUCAAUAGUGAAAGACGGUUUUGCUGUCACUUAUAGAUGGAUCCGCGCCGCAUUAGCUAGUUGGUAAGGUAACGGCUUACCAAGGCAACGAUGCGUAGCCGACCUGAGAGGGUGAUCGGCCACACUGGAACUGAGACACGGUCCAGACUCCUACGGGAGGCAGCAGUAGGGAAUCUUCCGCAAUGGGCGAAAGCCUGACGGAGCAACGCCGCGUGAGAGAUGAAGGUCUUCGGAUCGUAAAACUCUGUUAUUAGGGAAGAACAAAUGUGUAAGUAACUAUGCACGUCUUGACGGUACCUAAUCAAAAAGCCACGGCUAACUACGUG